GACGAACGCUGGCGGCGUGCCUAAUACAUGCAAGUAGAACGCACAGUUUAUACCGUAGCUUGCUACACCAUAAACUGUGAGUUGCGAACGGGUGAGUAAAGCGUAGGUAACCUGCCUGGUAGCGGGGGAUAACUAUUGGUAACGAUAGCUAAUACCGCAUAAUAUUGAUUAUUGCAUGAUAAUUGACUGAAAGUUGCUAUUGCAUCACUACUAGAUGGACUUGCGUUGUAUUAGCUAGUAGGUGAGGUAACGGCUCACCUAGGCGACGAUACAUAGCCGACCUGAGAGGGUGGUCGGCCGCACUGGGACUGAGACACGGCCCAGACUCCUACAGGAGGCAGCAGUAGGGAAUCUUCGGCAAUGGACGAGAGUCUGACCGAGCAACGCCGCGUGAGUGAGGAAGGUUGUCGGAUCGUAAAGCUCUGUUGUAAGAGAAGAACGGGUGUGAGAGUGGAAAGUUCACAGUGUGACGGUAUCUUACCAGAAAGGGACGGCUAACUACGUG
rnacentral:rRNA from 1 species